ensembl:lncRNA
UACAAGUUUAACAUUUGCUUUUGCUAUAUGUAUAUAUGUGUAUGCAUAUAUGUACAGUAUGUAUGUAUGUAUGUAUGUCUGCAUGAAUGUAUGUAUUUAUGUGUGUGCAAACGUGCAUGUGUGUGUUUGUCUAGUGUUGUGCAAGUAUGUGUAUGGGUGUGUUUCUUUAGCAUCAUGCAUGUGUGUGUGUUUGUCUAGCAUUGUAUUUUUCAAUGUGUGAUAGUGUGUCUCUAGCAUUGCGUAAGCAUGUGUGUGUGUGUGACUGUUUUCAAGCAUUCCGUAGUUAUGUGUUUGGAUGAGUGUUUAUUUAGCGUUGUGUAUGCGUGAGAGUGUGUUCUCUAGCAUUUUGUAUGUGUGUGUGUUAUUCUCGAGAAUUGCAUGUUCGUGUGUGUGUUUAUCUCUAGCAUUGCGUAUGUUGUGGCAACCGGGCACGGUGAGCGAACCACCUCCUCCCAAACAGGACACCAUUUCGUGGGGAAAAGCCAAAAAAGGUAUUUAAUCCAGAACAUAAUAAAGUCUUUCAAAACACAAAUAACGUAAAACCUGGGAGGAAUCAACGGUCCCCUCCUUCGUGGGUGGAAUCCCGUCACCCACGAGGACCGGUCUCUCCGUGCAGGAGCUCCAGGGCUGGGAGUGUGAGUGGAGAAGCGGGCCAUUAAGGCCCUGCUUCUCCACCUGUUUCUCAGGUGCUCUGAAUCUCCUUAAUUGGCCUGGGCCAGGUUGCCACACAUCUCUCCACCCUUUGCUGAAGCCUCGGGUGGCCUUUCGGAGGGGCGGAGGGGCGGCGGUUCGGCGGGCAGAAUGGCUGCUUCUGCUGCCGGCGUGUCUCGUUUCGCGGGUCGUCUCCCACGGCCUUGUCUCCCGCGGCCUGGUCUCCGCGGCCUGGUCUCCCGCGUCGUCGUCUCCGGCUGCGUCGUCUCCGGCUGCGUUGUCUCAGGCUGCAUCAUUCUAUGGUUUGGGGGUGGUUUGAGGUUGGCAUUCCCACCAAAAAUGGUCGGUCGAGUUGCCCACAUCCUCCACCAUAUGUGGCAACCCGGUACGGGGUCCCAAGCAGCCUGCGUCGCGAACCCUCGUCACAACUGUGAUCAAGAGCUCUGAAGCACAGUCUUCACAGUGACCUGCUGUGACAUUCACCGUCUCUCUCCCUCACCACCGACCUCUGUGCCUGAUGUCAGCCUCCUGUGUCACUGUGAUGCCUUACACAGAGUGAAAGCAAAGCCAUGAAUAAAACUCAUCCACUCGUCUCCUCCUUCCCUGACCAAAUUACAUUACUGUUUCAUUUAGGGUGAAAAACAUCAAGCUAUAAUUCGGAGGAUAUUGAUGAUGUUACCAAAAUAAUUAUUAAAGUAUUACGAUAUGAUACAAUUCAUUAUUAAUUAUGCAAGUUUCCACACAUUUGGACUUCAAAGUGCCUGGUUUUAACUUUGUCCCAGUUUCUAAUCUGGCUGUGCGCUUUGGUCUUGUUGGAGUGGCUGGAUCAGGUUGUGCUGGUUGAAUUAACUGCAGGAACCGGUUGUCUUGAGUUAGCUUACAGAUUACCUUUUCUCUGCCUCCUAGCUGUGGGAGGUAGAGUUGAUGACAUGGCACUUUAUCAAGGACAUGUUAACAUAGCUGUACAAAUACUGCCUGGUA